rnacentral:rRNA from 1 species
UCAUAACCCUUUGUUGUCCGACUCUGUUGCCUCCGGGGCGACCCUGCCUUCGGGCGGGGGCUCCGGGUGGACACUUCAAACUCUUGCGUAACUUUGCAGUCUGAGUAAACUUAAUUAAUAAAUUAAAACUUUUAACAACGGAUCUCUUGGUUCUGGCAUCGAUGAAGAACGCAGCGAAAUGCGAUAAGUAAUGUGAAUUGCAGAAUUCAGUGAAUCAUCGAAUCUUUGAACGCACAUUGCGCCCCCUGGUAUUCCGGGGGGCAUGCCUGUUCGAGCGUCAUUUCACCACUCAAGCCUCGCUUGGUAUUGGGCAUCGCGGUCCGCCGCGUGCCUCAAAUCGACCGGCUGGGUCUUCUGUCCCCUAAGCGUUGUGGAAACUAUUCGCUAAAGGGUGUUCGGGAGGCUACGCCGUAAAACAACCCCAUUUCUAAGGUUGACCUCGGAUCAGGUAGGGAUACCCGCUGAACUUAA